rnacentral:rRNA from 1 species
CUACGGGCGGCAGCAGUGAGGAAUAUUGCACAAUGGGGGGAACCCUGAUGCAGCAACGCCGCGUGGAGGAUGACGCAUUUCGGUGUGUAAACUCCUUUUAUAUGUCAAGAAAAUGACGGUAGCAUAUGAAUAAGCACCGGCUAACUCCGUGCCAGCAGCCGCGGUAAUACGGAGGGUGCAAGCGUUACUCGGAAUCACUGGGCGUAAAGGACGCGUAGGCGGGUUGGAAAGUCAGGUGCGAAAUCCUACAGCUUAACUGUAGAACUGCAUUUGAAACUUCUAAUCUAGAGUAUGGGAGGGGGGGAUGGAAUUAGUGGUGUAGGGGUAAAAUCCGUAGAUAUCACUAGGAAUACCUAAAGCGAAGGCGAUCUCCUGGAACAUUACUGACGCUAAGGCGUGAAAGCGUGGGGAGCAAACAGGAUUAGAUACCCGGGUAGUC